GAUGAACGCUGGCGGCGUGCCUAAUACAUGCAAGUCGAGCGAACAGACGAUGAGCUUGCUCCUCUGACGUUAGCGGCGGACGGGUGAGUAACACGUGGAUAACCUACCUAUAAGACUGGGAUAACUUCGGGAAACCGGAGCUAAUACCGGAUAAUAUAUUGAACCGCAUGGUUCAAUAGUGACAUACGGUUUUUCUGUCACUUAUAGAUGGUUCCGCGCCUCAUUAGCUAGUUGGUAAGGUAACGGCUUACCAAGGCUACGAUGCGUAGCCGACCUGAGAGGGUGAUAGGCGACACUGGAACUGAGACACGGUCCAGACUCCUACGGGAGGCAGCAGUAGGGAACCUGCCGCAAUGGGCGAAAGUCUGACGGAGCAACGCCGCGUGAGUGAUGAAGGUCUUCGGAUCGUAAAACUCUGUUAUUAGGGAAGAACAAAUGUGUAAGUAACUAUGCACGUCUUGACGGUACCUAAUCAGAAAGCCACGGCUAACUACGUG
rnacentral:rRNA from 1 species